rnacentral:rRNA from 1 species
UGGGGAAUAUUGCACAAUGGGCGCAAGCCUGAUGCAGCCAUGCCGCGUGUAUGAAGAAGGCCUUCGGGUUGUAAAGUACUUUCAGCGGGGAGGAAGGGAGUAAAGUUAAUACCUUUGCUCAUCGACGUUACCCGCAGAAGAAGCACCGGCUAACUCCGUGCCAGCAGCCGCGGUAAUACGGAGGGUGCAAGCGUUAAUCGGAAUUACUGGGCGUAAAGCGCACGCAGGCGGUUUGUUAAGUCAGAUGUGAAAUCCCCGGGCUCAACCUGGGAACAGCAUCUGAUACUGGCGGUGUUGAGUGUCAGAGAGGGGGGUAGAAUUCCAGGUGUAGCGGUGAAAUGCGUAGAGAUCUGGAGGAAUACCGGUGGCGAAGGCGACCACCUGGACGAAGACUGACGCUCAGGUGCGAAAGCGUGGGGAGCAAACAGA